rnacentral:rRNA from 1 species
AUUGAACGCUGGCGGCAGGCCUAACACAUGCAAGUCGAGCGGUAACAGGGGAAGCUUGCUUCUCGCUGACGAGCGGCGGACGGGUGAGUAAUGUAUGGGGAUCUGCCCGAUAGAGGGGGAUAACUACUGGAAACGGUAGCUAAUACCGCAUAAUCUCUUAGGAGCAAAGCAGGGGAACUUCGGUCCUUGCGCUAUCGGAUGAACCCAUAUGGGAUUAGCUAGUAGGUGAGGUAAUGGCUCACCUAGGCGACGAUCCCUAGCUGGUCUGAGAGGAUGAUCAGCCACACUGGGACUGAGACACGGCCCAGACUCCUACGGGAGGCAGCAGUGGGGAAUAUUGCACAAUGGGCGCAAGCCUGAUGCAGCCAUGCCGCGUGUAUGAAGAAGGCCCUAGGGUUGUAAAGUACUUUCAGUCGGGAGGAAGGCGUUGAUGCUAAUAUCAUCAACGAUUGACGUUACCGACAGAAGAAGCACCGGCUAACUCCGUGC